rnacentral:misc_RNA from 1 species
GAUCUCCCUGCAGAACUGAUGUGGAACGCAUCACAUACUAAACAAAAUUUCAUGAUUAUAUAAAAAUAUAGAUUAUGAAAUUCCAGAUCUAUACAAAUGCCUUAUAAUGACAACACCAUGUAUUGGAAUAACAUAUGCAAGGGCAAUAGUAACUCAUUUUCAUUUUUCCACAUAAGCAAUUAGAUGCUUUGUGUAUUUUCAUGUGUUCUCUUUUUGUAUUGUUGCCAUUUUUUCCUACCUUUCCAUUUUUCUUUUAUA